AUUGCCCCAGUAACGGCGAGUGAAGCGGCAGAAGCUCAAAUUUGAAAUCUGGGGUCUGCGACCCCCGAGUUGUAAUCUCGAGAGGCCACCUCCGGGAGGGUCCCGGCACGUGUUCCUUGGAACAGGACGUCAGAGAGGGUGAGAAUCCCGUUCAUUGCCGCGCGGCUGCUCCCUCCGUGAGGCGCCUUCGACGAGUCGAGUUGUUUGGGAAUGCAGCUCCAAGUGGGUGGUAAAUUUCAUCUAAGGCUAAAUACUGGCGGGAGACCGAUAGCGCACAAGUAGAGUGAUCGAAAGAUGAAAAGCACUUUGAAAAUAGAGUUAAAAAGUACGUGAAAUUGUUGAAAGGGAAGCGCUUGAGACCAGACUCAGGGCGGGGCAAACAGCCUUGCCCCCGACCGGGCGGCGCACUUGCCCCGACCCUGGGCCAGCAUCAGUUGGUGUGGCGGGACAAAGGCGCGGGGAACGUGCCUCCCCCUCGAGGGAGGGUUAUAGCCCGGCGUCCGAUGCCGCCGACACCGACUGAGGACCGCGCUUCGGCCAGGAUGCUGGCUCAAUGGUCCCCAGCGACCCGUCUUGAAACACGGACCAAGGAGUCUAACAUCUAUGCGAGUGUUUGGGCAUCAAACCCUUACGCGCAAUGAAAGUGAGCCGAGGUGGGAACCCGCCCCGAUCGGCGGGCGCACCAUCGACCGAUCCCGAUGUUCUCGGAAGGUUUGAGUAGGA
rnacentral:rRNA from 1 species